rnacentral:rRNA from 1 species
UACGUAGGGGGCAAGCGUUAUCCGGAUUUAUUGGGCGUAAAGCGCACGUAGGCGGCCGAUCGCGUCGGAUGUGAAAGCUCGGGGCUCAACCCUGACGAGGCCAUUCGAUACGGGUCGGCUAGAGGCGAGGUAGGGGAAGGUGGAAUUCCUGGUGUAGCGGUGAAAUGCGCAGAUAUCAGGAGGAACACCGGUGGCGAAGGCGGCCUUCUGGGCCUGUCCUGACGCUGAGGCGCGAAAGCUGGGGGGAGCGAACAGG